GACGAACGCUGGCGGCGUGGAUUAGGCAUGCAAGUCGAACGGUAGGAUACCUUCGGGUAUCUGAGAGUGGCGAACGGGUGAGUAACACGUAGGUGAUCUACCCUCAAGAUUGGGACAACCCAGGGAAACUUGGGCUAAUACCGGAUGAAAGCAGCAGUGAUGUUGUUUGAAAGGUGGCGUAAGCUGCCGUUUGGGGAUGAGCCUGCGCUCUAUUAGUUAGUUGGCGGGGUAAAGGCCCACCAAGGCGAUGAUAGAUAGGCGGCCUUAACGGGUGGUCGCCCACACUGGGAUUGAGAUGCGGCCCAGACUCCUACGGGAGGCAGCAGUCGAGAAUAGUCUACAAUGGCCGAAAGGCUGAUAGUGCGACGCCGCGUGAACGAAGAAGCCCUUCGGGGUGUAAAGUUCUUUUAUAUGUGAGCAGUGCUUUCUAUGUGAACAGCAUGGGGAGAGAGAUAUUAGCAUAUGAAUAAGCAACGGCUAACUCCGUGCCAGCACG
rnacentral:rRNA from 1 species